AAUCAACGCUGGCGGCGUGCCUAACACAUGCAAGUCGAACGCGAAAGGGGGCUUCGGUCCCUGAGUAGAGUGGCGGACGGGUGAGUAACACGUGGAUGACCUGCCCUCGAGUGGGGGAUAACUCUUCGAAAGGGGAGCUAAGACCGCAUGAGCUCCUGGGGGCGACUCUGGGAGGAAAGCCUGAGGGUGCUGGAGGAGGGGUCCGCGACCGAUUAGCUGGUUGGUGGGGUAAGGGCCCACCAAGGCGACGAUCGGUAGCCGGUCUGAGAGGACGGACGGCCACACUGGAACUGAGAGACGGUCCAGACUCCUACGGGAGGCAGCAGUGGGGAAUUUUGCGCAAUGGGCGCAAGCCUGACGCAGCAACGCCGCGUGGAGGAUGAAGGUUUUCGGAUUGUAAACUCCUGUCCCGGGGGAAGAAGGCAGUGACGGUACCCUGGGAGGAAGCCCCGGCUAACUCCGUG
rnacentral:rRNA from 1 species